GCCUUAGUAACUGCGAGUGAAGCGGCAAAAGCUCAAAUUUGAAAUCUGGCGUCUUCGACGUCCGAGUUGUAAUUUGGAGAGAUAUCUUCGGGAUGGACACCGGCCCAAGUUCCUUGGAACAGGACGUCACAGAGGGUGAGAAUCCCGUGUCUGGCUGGUUGCUCCAUUCCAUGUGAAGUGUCUUCGACGAGUCGAGUUGUUUGGGAAUGCAGCUCAAAAUGGGUGGUAAAUUUCAUCUAAAGCUAAAUAUUGGCGAGAGACCGAUAGCGCACAAGUAGAGUGAUCGAAAGAUGAAAAGCACUUUGAAAAGAGAGUUAAAAAGUACGUGAAAUUGUUGAAAGGGAAGCGCUUGAGACCAGACUCAAUUGGUGGUGAUCAGCAGUCCUUCUGGGCUGUGCACUUGCCGCCUUUUGGGCCAGCAUCGGUUCUGGCCGCGUGAUAAAGACCCAAGGAACGUAGCUCCUCUCGGGGAGUGUUAUAGCCUUGGGUGCAAUGACGUGAGCUGGGACCGAGGACCGCGCUUCGGCUAGGAUGCUGGCGUAAUGGUCUUCAGCGACCCGUCUUGAAACACGGACCAAGGAGUCUAACAUCUAUGCGAGUGUUCGGGUGGAAAACCCUUGCGCGUAAUAAAAGUGAACGGAGGUGGGAACCCUUCGGGGCGCACCAUCGACCGAUCCUGAUGUCUUCGGAUGGAUUUGAGUAAGAGCAUAGCUGUUGGGACCCGAAAGAUGGUGAACUAUGCCUGAAUAGGGUGAAGCCAGAGGAAACUCUGGUGGAGGC
rnacentral:rRNA from 1 species